rnacentral:rRNA from 1 species
UCGAUGGGAAGCAGGUUAAUAUUCCUGCACGACUUGUAAUUGCGAUGGGGGGACGGAGAAGGCUAGGUGGGCCAGGCGACGGUUGUCCUGGUGAAAGUGCGUAGGUGGUGUUUCUAGGCAAAUCCGGAGACACAACACUGAGACACGAGACGAACGCACCACGGUGUGGAAGCCAUUGAUGCCCUGCUUCCAGGAAAAGCCUCUAAGCUUCAGAUUACAAGUCAUCGUACCCCAAACCGACACAGGUGGUCGGGUAGAGAAUACCAAGGCGCUUGAGAGAACUCGGGUGAAGGAACUAGGCAAAAUAGUACCGUAACUUCGGGAGAAGGUACGCUCUUGUUGGUGAAGUCCCUUGCGGAUGGAGCUGACGGGAGUCGCAGUGACCAGAUGGCUGGGACUGUUUAUCAAAAACACAGCACUCUGCAAACACGAAAGUGGACGUAUAGGGUGUGACACCUGCCCGGUGCCGGAAGGUUAAUUGAUGGGGUUAGCG